UACGUAGGGUGCGAGCGUUGUCCGGAAUUACUGGGCGUAAAGAGCUCGUAGGUGGUUUGUCGCGUUGUUCGUGAAAACUCACAGCUUAACUGUGGGCGUGCGGGCGAUACGGGCAGACUGGAGUACUGCAGGGGAGACUGGAAUUCCUGGUGUAGCGGUGGAAUGCGCAGAUAUCGGGAGGAACACCGGUGGCGAAGGCGGUUCUCUGGGCCUUACCUGACGCUGAGGAGCGAAAGCGUGGGGAGCGAACAGG
rnacentral:rRNA from 1 species